rnacentral:rRNA from 1 species
UCUUGGACAAUGGGGGAAACCCUGAUCCAGCCAUGCCGCGUGAGUGAUGAAGGCCUUCGGGCUGUAAAACUCUUUCGACGGGGACGAUAAUGACGGUACCCGUAGAAGAAGCUCCGGCUAACUUCGUGCCAGCAGCCGCGGUAAUACGAAGGGGGCUAGCGUUGUUCGGAAUUACUGGGCGUAAAGCGCGCGCAGGCGGUCUUCCAAGUCAGUGGUGAAAGCCCGGAGCUCAACUCCGGAACUGCCAUUGAAACUGUGAGACUUGAGUACGAGAGAGGUGAGUGGAAUUCCCAGUGUAGAGGUGAAAUUCGUAGAUAUUGGGAAGAACACCGGUGGCGAAGGCGGCUCACUGGCUCGUAACUGACGCUCAGGCGCGACA